rnacentral:ncRNA from 2 species
AAUUAAUAUUUGCUUUUAGGUGCCCCAAUAAGGGGAGAAUAGGGAAACCGGUGAAAACCCGGUACGGACCCACCACUGUAGAGACGAGUCCUCGCUAAUCCACUGGCAUAUGCUGGGAAGGAGCGUUAAGGGCGAUUGAGUCUGAGUCAGGAGACCUGCCUAAGAGAGAGGCUAUCG